rnacentral:pre_miRNA from 1 species
GUUCUACUCCCUCCGUCCGGAAAUACUUGUCUUAAAAAUAAAUAUAAUGAAUGUAUCUAUAACUAAAAUAAGUCUAGAUACAUUCAUCUCUAGGACAAGUAUUUUCGGACGGAGGGAGUAUUAA